UCUGUGACGUCUUUGAGGGAAACAAACCAACCACCCCGUUCACUGAGAUUAUACAGCACAUGGUACCUGAAUUGAUUUAAUAAAAAACACCCAGGGAACUGAUAGUAGAAAUUUGUUUACAGAGAUCGUCAAGAAAAGCACAAAAGAACAUGUAAAUAUUUGUGAGGGACCAAUCUGGAACUGGAAGAACUCACGUUAGCUAAGUUUGUGUAACUUGCUGAGUGCGUGCUACUAACGUUGCUAUUUCAAAGCUUCAAAUAGUUGUGUGCUAUUUAAUCGGGUAAUAAUGCUAGCUAACUGUUGUAUUUGAUGAAGUGGUCUUUGUUGCCUGAGUAAAUUAAACGCCGGUGAAACUAAAGCUUGAAAAUGGAGAAUGGCGUGAUUGAUCACCAAUCCCACGGUAUCGGUGCGUUUGACCUGUACCAUCAUUUCGUUCGAGGGGAAUAAACGAUACAAUAGGGGAAACACCAUCGCCAAAUUCAAGGGUAAAUUGGAGAUGGUUGUGGGUACCCCGGCCUCCAUUAUGGAACUACAGCUUUUCUUCAACACCACCGACAAGUUCAGAAGCUGGACGACAACCAGGCCCUGCUAGGUUCCUACCCUGUGCAUGAUGACUGCAAAAUGAAUGCAUGUACUUCUGUGUUCUGAAAGAAUGCUCACAUGACACCCACAGGGUAUAGUAGAUUUCAAGCCAGGUCAUUGGGUGGGAGUGAAGUAUAACGAGCCUCUUGGGAAACAUGACGGGCAGUGUGAAGGAGAAGUGAUACUUUGAAUGUGAGAACAAGUACGUUGUGUUUGUCAGGCCCCUCACAAAGACCGUGGGACACUUCCCAGAGGAAGACUUUCACCUGGACGAGAUGUAGGACUGUGAUGCUGUCACCCUGUCAAGGGGUGUGGGGAGAUGGGUUCAACAUAGACCUCCAGUCUGAUUACGAACCCGGGGCGAGGGACAGUGUCAUUGCGAUUAAUAACUUUAUUUUGUUAUGUGCUGGCCAGGGAGGUAUGGGUUGGACUAUAGAGAGCUGCAACUGGGGAAGGAGGCAGUAUCACCUAGGACCGACUCUAGCUUAUGACAUCUCUUGUUGCACAGCGGUCUAAGGCACUGCAUCUCCGUGCUAGAGACGUCAUGACAGACGCCCCUAGCAAAAACAAAAAAAAAAGUGGAAUUUACUGUAUAUUGAAUGAGGAGAGAUGAGAAAAGCACAAUGUUUUUGCAUUGUUACAAAUACGUUGUCGCUGUAUUUAAUGUAAAUGUCCUUUUAUUCGGUGGAUGUAGAAAGCAAGCGUUUCUAAAUUUGAUGUCCUCAGAAUUUUGAAUUGAACCUGAAUUGCCUAUCACAUCCUAGAUUCUAUAUGAAUAAUAGGCAGUCAUAAAAAUCACAACAAUGUUCAUCAAAUGUCAAUUAUCAUCCCAAGCCAGGGUUCUAUCAAACUUUCUAAAAUAAAUCCCAUGCUUUUGAAUGCAAGAAUACAAGCAACAACAACAUUUCUAUUUGUACUACUGACCAGUGGCAAAAUGUUCAGUUUAUUUGAAUAUAUGUUAGUUCAUUGGUUAUUGUACCAUAGAAGCUGUUUGUUUUU